GACGAACGCUGGCGGCGUGCCUAAUACAUGCAAGUUGAGCGAUGAAGAUUGGUGUUUGCACCAAUUUGAAGAGCAGCGAACGGGUGAGUAACGCGUGGGGAAUCUGCCUUUGAGCGGGGGACAACAUUUAGAAACGAAUGCUAAUACCGCAUAACAACUUUAAACAUAAGUUUUAAGUUUGAAAGAUGCAAUUGCAUCACUCAAAGAUGAUCCCGCGUUGUAUUAGCUAGUUGGUGAGGUAAAGGCUCACCAAGGCGAUGAUACAUAGCCGACCUGAGAGGGUGAUCGGCCACAUUGGGACUGAGACACGGCCCAAACUCCUACGGGAGGCAGCAGUAGGGAAUCUUCGGCAAUGGACGAAAGUCUGACCGAGCAACGCCGCGUGAGUGAAGAAGGGUUUCGGAUCGUAAAACUCUGUUGGUAGAGAAGAACGUUGGUGAGAGUGGAAAGCUCAUCAAGUGACGGUAACUACCCAGAAAGGGACGGCUAACUACGUG
rnacentral:rRNA from 1 species